GACAUAUUUACUGCUCCACCACCUCCAAACCUUGUAGAACUACAGUGAAGGGGGAGCCAGCAGGAGAAACUGAAGCUGGCAGAACUGCUGGAGAAAGCAACUCAGUGAGAAACAGGCGACAGCACCAGGACACCUUCUACAGUUCUCACGGAUGGAAAAAAUUUAUUUGCUUUCUUAUUCAAGAACUGAGACAAAACCAAAUGAAAAUUGGAUCACCGUGAACUACAUCUGAGAUAGAUGAAAGGCAAAUUAAGUAAUAAGACAAGACAAGCAGUUGCUGGAGAAUUAUAGCAUGGCUGCCUUGGUUAGUGUCAUAAAGCACAAGACAAAAGGCCGUAGAACUUCAUAUUCUACCAUGGAUCAGUGCUUGGCAGCUGUAGAGAAGCUAUGUAACUGCUGCUGGUUGUGGACUUUUCUCCAAGGAAUUAAGCUUGUGGGAAGAGCAACAUGGUCACACCUGGUGAACUUUGAACUUAAUUGAAGACAAAAAGUAAGCUAGGAAAUGAAAAUUAAAAUCAUAUUAUGAAUUCAGACUUGAACACUACACUUUUGUACUGGCAUUUACUUACCUUAGUUUUACCACAACAAAGCUACUGAAAUAUUUUUGCUGAAGAACCCAUGUUUCUGCUUAGACAUCAUUGUAAUCAUUAACUGGGCUUUUAUUUAACAACUGCCACCAGUUUGAUUUUCAGGGAGAAACUGUCACAAUUUUAGAGUAUUCUUUUUCCAUGUAUGGUUUGCAAUUUGCUAUGUAAAAUAUGAAAAGGAAUUCAUAGUUCUGUGAAAGCCUUCUAAAAUUUUCAAAUUGUG
rnacentral:lncRNA from 1 species